GGCUGUAGAAACCCGGUUCAGAAAGCUGGGUCUAAAUUGCCAUCGUGGUGGCCGGAUCAAUGGUAAUGAAAGAUAGACACGGUCACAGAAGCAAAAUCAUGCUCUUUCUAAGAAAAAACUCUGCCUCCCGGUGACAGCAUGCAGGAGGGCUUAGUCAAGUUGUGACUGUCAGAUGAAUAUCUUUCGUGCAAACAUUCAGUGUCAUCAGUAUCUGGCUGCCACCCAGAAGUGGAAUGGGCUCAUUCACUUCCCGGUUUCCGCGUGUCAGCUGACAGGUGAGGCCAAGUCAGACCUGGUCACUGCCGAGCCUGCUCAGUCAGCAAGGGCCUCGCCUCGUCACCUUCCCCUCCUGGCUGUCCCGCAGCCCUCCAGCCCUGGGGAACUUAACCUUGUCUCUCAAACAUCCCACACUGCUUGGCAGGGGAUUCUCUCCCCCAGGGCACGAGAGUUCAAGGCCAACCCAAGGACCGAAGAGCAGAGGGGGAGGGAGGGAGGAGCACACCACACAGCACCAGGAGGAACUUCUGAGGCGAUCCAAAGACUAAAGAAGAGCAGUGUAGAGGCCAGAUUUUUAAUGAAAAAAGAAGCCAGAUUUUUGAAGAUCUGACUUACUUCUAAAUUCUCUGCUUGUGAUGCUCGGAACAGCAGGAACAAAAUUUGGCAAGUGCCUGGCUGAUGAAAUCACUAAACAUCAACACCAAUCCCAGAAUCCCCCUGCCUCCGGACUCCUCAAAAUUAAGCUGCAAUAAUCCAGCAGGUUCUGUGCCAGGACUGGAAUCAGAGUGGAGGAGAACAGUGGUGUUUUAAUGGAGGCAGAGGGACGAGAAUGUGUGAGGGCCCUCGGAAGGAAAGAACGCUGCAAAUGGAAGGAAAUGAGAGCAGUUCCUCGAACCGGGAGUGUGAAGACAAAGGGAAAGAAUAGUGUGACGAGGAGACAGGCGGAGGCUGAUCAUCGGCCUUGAAGGCCGCAGCCGGGAUUGCAGAAGACUGGUGACUUCAGAACCGGUGGCGAGUGUUGGCCAGCUAAUACAAUCCCCCCUUCUCUCUCACACCCUUCUGUGGCUUCCAGCCUGUUUUAAAUUUAUUUAAUGAGGUUCAGCGUGGUGCCAAUGAAAAUCCCCACAGGUUUUUCUUGGAGAACGUAACUCGGAGGUUUAAAUGGAGUUGCACGGGUCAAGCAGUAGCCAAAACACUCUUGCAGGAGAACGAGGUGGGGGUUCGCGCCACACCGGAUGCUGACUUACUGUAAAGUUAACGAAGAGGUUGUGUCGUGUUGGCCAGGACAGAAAACAA